AUUGAACGCUGGCGGAAUGCUUUACACAUGCAAGUCGAACGGCAGCACGGACUUCGGUCUGGUGGCGAGUGGCGAACGGGUGAGUAAUAUAUCGGAACGUGCCCAGUCGUGGGGGAUAACGUAGUGCAAAUUACGCUAAUACCGCAUACGAUCUACGGAUGAAAGCGGGGGAUCGAAAGCCCUCGCGCGAUUGGAGCGGCCGAUUUCAGAUUAGGUAGUUGGUUGGGUAAAGGCUCACCGAGGCGACGAUCUGUAGCUGGUCUGAGAAGACGACCAGCCACACUGGAACUGAGACACGGUCCAGACUCCUACGGGAGGCAGCAGUGGGGAAUUUUGGACAAUGGACGCAAGUCUGAUCCAGCCAUUCCGCGUGCAGGACGAAGGCCUUCGGGUUGUAAACUGCUUUUGUACAGAACGAAAAGGUCUCUAUUAAUACUAGGGGCUCAUGACGGUACUGUAAGAAUAAGCACCGGCUAACUACGUGCCAGCCGCCGCGGUAACAC
rnacentral:rRNA from 1 species